rnacentral:lncRNA from 1 species
GGUAUUAGAGAUCAGGAAAGUAGUUGGGAGUAUGUAUGCCGGCAAAAAAGUACCCACACCUUCUUAGGUGGUAAAAGAUCUUUUUAUGAAAAAAAUACAUACAUUCUUAUAGGUCAAUUUAUCUCAAUCGAUGAUAUUGUUUCUGGAUAGUUGACCUAACCAAUCAAAGCUCCCUUGACUAGCUUUCCAGCAUGCGCUACUACUGCCUACCUAGCAGUCACCUCUUCCUCCUCUAUUCCAUUUCUAGUGCAAUAUCUGACUUCAGUAGAAGAAGAGUACUCCCCUUCAUAAUGCUUCCUUCUUCAAGUCUUUCGCUAGUGAAGUUUGGGAAAGCUAGUAGGGAACUGCAACCAGAGAGAGAGUUCUAGUGAGUCCAGACUCUUCCUUUCGUUCAUCAAAGCGAAGCAUGGCUGCAAUCCCAAACUCAUCCUUUUUUCUUCUUAUCAUUCGCAAUGCUACUAUGGUUUUGAUGUCUUCUUGUGUCGAGCUCGCUAUCUGAGGUUUGAGAUCAAGGGAAUAGCUAAGCGCGUGGGUUGAAGUGAGUAAAGAUCUGAAGCUAAGGUAAAUAAUAGGUUGAAACAGAAGAAUGAUAAGAAUAAAGU